rnacentral:lncRNA from 1 species
UAGAGAUAAAGAUGACUGUAACAUAGUAAUACUACUUUUAUUGAACAGAGAAAGUGAAAUCAACGUAAGCCUAAAAGAUGAUUAAGUUAAGCUUGGAGCAUUGCUUUUUAUUUCAGUUUCCUUUAAGCUAUUCAAAUAAAGAUGGAUGAGUUGGCAGUAAGAAGUAGAAACCAGGAAAGAGGGCCUGAAGAGACACAGCCAGACCAAUGAUGUGGAAAAAUUUAAGUGUCCACAGAAGGAAGACACUUGGAAAUAGAACCUUCAAGGGGCACAGGCAGCAACUACUAACUGGAGCCUAAAGACAAAGAAAAAGGGG